UACGUAGGGUGCAAGCGUUAUCCGGAAUUAUUGGGCGUAAAGAGCUCGUAGGCGGUCUGUCGCGUCUGCUGUGAAAACUGGAGGCUCAACCUCCAGCCUGCAGUGGGUACGGGCAGACUAGAGUGCGGUAGGGGAGAUUGGAAUUCCUGGUGUAGCGGUGGAAUGCGCAGAUAUCAGGAGGAACACCGAUGGCGAAGGCAGAUCUCUGGGCCGUAACUGACGCUGAGGAGCGAAAGCGUGGGGAGCGAACAGGAUUAGAUACCCUGGUAGUCCACGCCGUAAACGUUGGGAACUAGAUGUAGGGACCAUUCCACGGUUUCUGUGUCGCAGCUAACGCAUUAAGUUCCCCGCCUGGGGAGUACGGCCGCAAGGCUAAA
rnacentral:rRNA from 1 species